rnacentral:tRNA from 1 species
GGGGAUUUAGCUCAGUGGUAGAGCGCUUGCCUAGCAUGUGCAAGGCCCUGGGUUCGGUUCCCAGCUCCG